GAACCGUUAGGGUCUAGUUUUAGUGGUUUUAGUAUUUUUGAAAACAAGUACCUUUUGUAUAAGGGUUUGUCGAGAAACUUAAUGUAUUUUAUCUCCCGAUUGUAAGAAAUUUAUUUUGUUUAGUUUCACAUUUGUAACAAAACAUGUGGGAAAAUCAAAAUGACUGGUUAUAUGCUUUAUGCUCUUAUAGGUAUCUGGUUAACUCUAAAAUGUGUUUAGUGCAGCUGUUUAUUUUAAAAAGUGAUUGUAAGUUGGAUGAGCAACUUGUGUAGUCUAAAUUGACUGUUGGUAUGACGUGAAGAAGAGUAGAUAGUCUUAAUAUUAGAAAAUAGUAGUUUGUUAUAAAUACAUCUUUGCGUGUUGUAAAAUUUAUCAGUGUGUCAUUGUGAGUAAGGAGUUUAAACCUUUUUAAAGAUUUUUUAAUGACAAAAUUAGUAGAUGCUCAAGUUUUAACUUAAUAGAUAAUAUAAGCAUUAAGGGAGAGAUGGUAUAGAGUGUUGUAAAAUUUAUCUAAUGAACUCGGCAAAGACCGCUCUUCGAAUGUUUAUCAAAAACAUUUCCUCUAGGGUGUAAAUGGAGGUAGGCCCUGCCCACUGCGAUGUCAAGGGCCGCAUUAGCCUGAGUGUGCUAAGGUAGCGCGAUAAUUUGCUUUUUAAUUAGAGGCUGGUAUGAAUGGGUUAACGUAAGAGGCUUCUGUGUCAGAUAAAAUAAUCAAACUUAAUUUUUAGGUGAAGAAGCCUAAAUCGCCUAGAAGGACGACAAGACCCUAGAAUCUGGUUUAAUCUGGCUAGUAAAAUAGUUGGAAUAGUAUUUGUUGGGGCAACAAGGUUAGUAUGAAUAACUUUAUAUAAAGGACUUAUGUGUUAGAUCUGGUCUUGCAAACAUAGUAAGUUACUCUAGGGAUAACAGCGUAAUUUACUUUGAUAGUUCUUAUUGAAAAGUGAAGUUUGCGACCUCGAUGUUGAAUUAAGGUAGCCUUAAGGUGUAGCCGCUUUAAAGGGUUGGUCUGUUCGCCCAUUAAAACCUUACAUGAUUUGAGUUCAGACCGGCGCGAGCUAGGUCAGUUUCUAUCCUCUAGGAGGUAUAUAGCUCAUUUUAGUACGAAAGGAUUUCAUGAGAAUAAGGCUUAUAGGUUUAAAAGUAGUUAAUAAAUAAUGUUAGUUUGUCAAACUAAAGUAGGCAAUAAUGCCCUUU
rnacentral:rRNA from 1 species